ACGCGAGGAACCUUACCAGGUCUUGACAUCCUUCGCUACUUCUAGAGAUAGAAGGUUCCCCUUCGGGAGACGAAGUGACAGGUGGUGCAUGGUUGUCGUCAGCUCGUGUCGUGAGAUGUUGGGUUAAGUCCCGCAACGAGCGCAACCCUUGAUCUUAGUUGCCAGCAUUCAGUUGGGCACUCUAAGGUGACUGCCGGUGACAAACCGGAGGAAGGUGGGGAUGACGUCAAAUCAUCAUGCCCCUUAUGACCUGGGCUACACACGUGCUACAAUGGACGGUACAAACGGUUGCCAACCCGCGAGGGGGAGCUAAUCUGAUAAAACCGUUCUCAGUUCGGAUUGUAGGCUGCAACUCGCCUACAUGAAGCUGGAAUCGCUAGUAAUCGCGGAUCAGCAUGCCGCGGUGAAUACGUUCCCGGGCCUUGCACACACCGCCCGU
rnacentral:rRNA from 1 species